rnacentral:rRNA from 1 species
GGGGAGUACGGCCGCAAGGCUGAAACUUAAAGGAAUUGGCGGGGGAGCACCACAAGGGGUGGACGUUGCGGCUUAAUCGGAUUCAACGCCGGAAACCUUACCGGGGCUGACGGCAGGAUGAAGGUCGGGCUGACGACCCUACCUGACGAGCCGAGAGGAGGUGCAUGGCCGUCGCCGGUGCGUGCCGUGAGGUGUCCUGUUAAGUCAGGCAACGGACGAGACCCGCGCCCCCAGUUGCCAGCGGCCGAGAGGCGCCGGGCACUCUGGGGGGACUGCCCCCGAAAGGGGGAGGAAGGAGCGGGCUACGGCAGGUCGGUAUGCCCCGAAUGCCCCGGGCCGCACGCGACGUUCAAUGGCGGGGACAGCGGGAUGCGACCCCGAAAGGGGGAGCCAACCCCUAAACCCCGCCUCAGUAGGGAUCGAGGGUUGCAACUCGCCCUCGUGAACGCGGAAUCCCUAGUAACCGCGCGUUAACACCGCGCGGUGAAUACGUCCCCGCUCCUUGCACACACUGCCCAUCGCUCCACCCGAGCUGGGUUCGGGUGAGGCCCGCUCCCGUUGGGCGGGUCGAGCCCGAACCCGGUGAGGGGGGAGAAGUUGUAACAAGGUAGCCGCACCGGAAGGUGUGGCUGGAUCACCUCCC